rnacentral:rRNA from 1 species
AUUGAACGCUGGCGGAAUGCUUUACACAUGCAAGUCGAACGGCAGCACGGGGCAACCUGGUGGCGAGUGGCGAACGGGUGAGUAAUACAUCGGAACGUGCCCAAUCGUGGGGGAUAACGUAGCGAAAGUUACGCUAAUACCGCAUACGAUCUACGGAUGAAAGCGGGGGAUCGCAAGACCUCGCGCGAAUGGAGCGGCCGAUGUCAGAUUAGGUAGUUGGUGGGGUAAAGGCUCACCAAGCCAACGAUCUGUAGCUGGUCUGAGAGGACGACCAGCCACACUGGGACUGAGACACGGCCCAGACUCCUACGGGAGGAAGAAGUGGGGAAUUUUGGACAAGGGGCGCAAGCCUGAUCCAGCCAUUCCGCGUGCAGGAUGAAGGCCUUCGGGUUGUAAACUGCUUUUGUACGGAACGAAACGGCUCUCUCUAAUACAGGGGGCUAAUGACGGUACCGUAAGAAUAAGCACCGGCUAACUACGUGCCAGCAGCCGCCGUAAAAC